rnacentral:tRNA from 1 species
GGAUUGUGGCUCAGUGGUAGAGCGCUCGCCCAGCACAGGAGGGACCCGGGUUCAAUCCUCAGCACCA